AUCGCGGGAGGCAGAGAGAGUUGAAUACCAAUUAGGAAACACCCAGAUAGGCACAAGCAAUGGAGAAGUGCUGCAAGGUGUUGAGAAGCAGAUGGUGUGAUCAGAACCUGCCUUACUGAUGCUAAUCCAGGGGAAAUGUCCAGGAUGCUCCGGAGGGAGGAGGUGCUUCACCACCAACUUCACAGGAGGCUUCAGUUUCCAACUCAACAGUAGGAAUAGUUGGAAAAUUGACUCAACAAUCAAUUUCCAAGAAUUUUCUGAAAAUCAAC
rnacentral:lncRNA from 1 species